rnacentral:tRNA from 1 species
AAUGAUGAGCCUGAUUUAAAGGGCUAUCGUGAUAGGAUAAAAUAUGUAGCUAACCCUACCUUCAUUA